GAUCUAUUUUGAGAGAAUAUACAAUUAAUAAAUCAAAACAAUAUAUACAAGAAAUAAAUCAACAUAACACAUUUUAAUAAAUCAACACAUUACAUACACAUACAAUACAUUAAGUAAAAUUACAAAAAUGAUCUAUUCAAACUCUUCAUGCUCUUCAUCCAUAUUAUUUUCAUCAUCUGAUCCGAUAUUAUCCUCGGAUCCAAACUCUUCAUGCUCUUCAUCCACAUUAUUUUCUACCAACAACAUAGAUGCAUCAAAUUGAUGAUCCUUAACUACUGUAUCACACAAAUUUAUAAUUUGUUCAACUUCAAUCACAUCAUUAAUUUGAGAAAUUUUAUCAUAUGGGUAAAUAAUAUCUUCUAUUAGAUAGUCAGUUUC
rnacentral:lncRNA from 1 species